GAUUCAAUAAAGAAGAAUAGACAUUGUCUCUGAAUCUCUAUGGACACAACAACACAUCUUGUCCAUUCCCAACACCUCUAACCUUUUCCAAAGUAGCAAGGUGAAAACUCCUACUCAUGCCUGCAACACAAAGCCCUCUCUCCAAGCAACUGAAGUAAGCUGAACAAAUGAAAAUUCUAAGGCAAUUUCAUUUGUUUUGUUGUCCCUGGUUUUGCAGAAAAGAGGGAAAAUGAGUAUUAUCCAGCGUUCAGAGGAGGCAAAGAAGAAAGAAGCACAUAAUUGGCAAAUUCCUGAGAAAGUGUCACUCAAAACAUGAUGGGAGUCUCCAAGGAAAAGUUGCUUUCCUUUCAAAGUAUUCCCAUUAAAAAGCUUUGAAAACUU